GACGAACGCUGGCGGCGUGCUUAACACAUGCCAGUCGAACGGAAACGCCCUGCUUUUGUGGGGUUCUCGAGUGGCGAACGGGUGCGUAACACGUGAGUAACCUGCCCUUGACUUUGGGAUAACUUCAGGAAACUGGGGCUAAUACCGGAUAGGAUCUCCUGCUCCAUGGUGGGGGUUGGAACGUUUCGGCGGUUGGGGAUGGACUCGCGGCUUAUCAGCUUGUUGGUGGGGUAGUGGCUUACCAAGGCUUUGACGGGUAGCCGGCCUGGGAGGGUGACCGGCGACAUUGGGACUGAGAUACGGACCAGACUGCAACGGGAGGCAGCAGGGGGGAGUAUUGCACAAUGGGAGGAAGCCUGAUGAGGCAACGCCGCGUGCGGGAUGACGGCCUGCGGGGUGUAAACCGCUUUAGCCUGUGACGAAGCGUGAGUGACGGUAAUGGGUAAAGAAGCACCGGCUAACUACGUG
rnacentral:rRNA from 1 species